AUGAGGAGAGAUGUCGAAUUACUAACCUCAACGAUGACGAUGGCGAUGAAAUGCUCAGAGCGAAUUGAGUGCGAAUUUCAGGUGAUUCUUUACUCCUCUCUCUUUGCCUUCUUACUUUCCUUCUUCUAUUUUCUUCGUUCUUGUUUCUUCUGUGCGAAUUUCUGCGAAAUCAUUGUGGUUGAAUUCGUGUGUUGUUAUUGUUCUUGUGAACUCAAUGAUGUGUUGAUGCUGAUUGUAAGUUGA